UCGGCAUAUUGCCUCCUUUCC
rnacentral:piRNA from 1 species